GCCACUGCUCCUAACAUUCUGUAGGUGGCCUCCUUCUCCACCACUAGAAAUCACAGUGAUUAGAGCCAGUGUUAAUCACAGUGUUUAGUACCAGUGUAAAUCAAAGUGUUUAGUGCCAGUAUUAAUCACAGUGUUUAGUGCCAGUGUUAAUCACAGUGUUUAGUGCCAGUGUUAAUCACAGUGUUUAGUGCCAGUGUUAAUCACAGUGUUUAGUGCCAGUGUUAAUCACAGUGUUUAGUACCAGUGUUAAUCAAAGUGGUGUCCACGCCACAUACAGUAUAAUAAUUGGAUAACAUCGACAUCCCCAAUAAGCUCUUCUUCUAAGCCACAAUGUCUGAGACAGGCAGCAAAAUUGUAAAAAAAAAAAUCUGAUUCUUAAAAAUAAUAUUUAGGGAUUUAACACACCUUUAGGGAUUUGGGGUUUUCACUUGUGUAGAGUUGAAAGUGUUUAGUCCAACAUGGAGAAGGGAUGAUACGACCACGCUGCUUUAGGGAUACUCUGCUGGAAACACAAACGCAUGUAUAAAGUUAUCAGACCAAGCAAUUACAGCUAAUUCACAUUCAUUUAAGUGUUGACAUGAAUGCUAUUAGCACCAGUCAGAUUCUAUGAAUUCUUUAAAAUGUUAACAUAAUUUAAACAUACCUUUUCAUCCAGAAGCUCACGUGUCAUAACUAGCUACGGAUUCUGAUUCAUACGCCAUGUCUGGAGAAAGGGGAGACUUGUGCACUGAGACGAGUGACUGAGUCACUCACAAAAACAGAGGACAAAACAGAAAAACUAUUCUGAUCGAAAUGCAGUUCCUCACAAUAAAAUGACACCUCUAAGAAUGUCAGUGGAAGUAUCCUUAAAAAAAAUUAAAAAAAUCUUAGUUUACGGUAGAAUAGCUCCAUGUUCAAAACAGGAACAUGUGGGUAACAGUAAGGCAGGUCUUGAUGCAGUCUCUUAACCUUUCCACAAAAAAAGGGCAAAAAAAAAAAAAUCAAAAUAGCCCACUGAUAAAAAAAAAAGAUAAAAACAUGACCCAUCAUAGUAGGUUAUUUCACUAAUGCAUACUCUUACAAAAUAAAAUAUAUCUGUUUGUCUUUUUAUUUCUAAACAAAAAAAGAUCAGAAGUUUUCUUCUAUAUAGAGGCUUGUAAAAGUAGUCGAGUUUGUCUCAUCAAUGAAUACGGUGUAAAAUAGUUAAGAGAAAAAAAAUAAGUCUCGCAAUAAUCCUGCUGUAUUCAUUCUCUACAGCGAGACCAGACAUCAACAGUUAAACAGGAAGGAAGGCCAAGGCAAUCUGCAAAAAUCCACUAUUCAAAAGACUAAAACCCUUAAUACGAAUACGUUUAAAAUAUAUUGUCUCCCUAUUUUCACUUAAUCCUAAAAAGACUAGGCUACUCCUUGUGUACCAAUUUCUGAAUUGGUCCAAGAAGCGUUAGUGUAGCCUCCCCAUGAAACAUUUAGCUACAGUAUGCCUAAUGAAUACACAUCUGUGUUAGGCUUGUUGACUCCCCAUGAAACAUUUAGCUACAGUAUGCCUAAUGAAUACACAUCUGUGUUAGGCUUGUUGACUCCCCAUUAAACAUUUAGCUACAGUAUGCCUAAUGAAUACACAUCCGUGUUAGGCUUGUUGACUGUUCUAGGGUGAGUAAUAGAAUGGAAGUCUACGGACUUCAGGGAGACCUAAAACUAACAUUAGGAACCUUUUCACAUUCCAAGUAUGAUCCAAAAGACCAAUAUAAUAGCCCCCAAAUCCUAGGAUGUCUGAUCUGUAUUCAGCAAGGAUUUGUUAGCAUUUCUUCUCAGAACCAGUCUCAACUACAAAGCAUUUUGAAAGUUCAGUAAGAAUCCACCUCGUGUUGCACUUCAUCACAUAUAACAAUAUCAAUCUUUUUUUCCCCCAGGCAAAUAAGAAACUGGCUUUUCCCUAGGGAGCAGAUCAGACUUUUCUUUCCAUCUUGCAUCUUUUUUUCCCCUGAGAUCUCAGUCAGGAAGUGCUUUUCUUUUCCCUGAGAGCUCAGUCAGGAAGUGCUUUUCUUUUCCCUGAGAGCUCAGUCAGGAAGUGCUUUUCUUUUCCCUGAGAGCUCAGUCAGGAAGUGCUUUUCUUUUCCCUGAGAUCUCAGUCAGGAAGUGCUUUUCUUUUCCCUGAGAGCUCAGUCAGGAAGUGCUUUUCUUUUCCCUGAGAUCUCAGUCAGGAAGUGCUUUUCUUUUCCCUGAGAUCUGUCAGGAAGUGCUUUUCUUUUCCCUGAGAGCUCAGUCAGGAAGUGCUUUUCUUUUCCCUGAGAUCUCAGUCAGGAAGUGCUUUUCUUUUCCCUGAGAGCUCAGUCAGGAAGUGCUUUUCUUUUCCCUGAGAGCUCAGUCAGGAAGUGCUUUUCUUUUCCUUGGCAGAUGCUCUCCAUCUCAUCUCAAUGAGGUUCUACUUGUCUGACAACUUUCUUUUCCUUCUUGGCUAUAAACAUUUAUUUAUCCUCAUUAAAUCCCUUUUUUCCCCCUGUUACUUCUGUGAGCCUAUGGUAUUUUGGCUCAAGUGAUGCUGCAGGGACCUUCUGGUUAUAUCUGUGAUGUUGACUUGAUUUUACUUCCGAAAGGACCACUUUCUGCAGCUGGUAGUGGCGACUGUGGAAGGCUGAAUACAUUUCCAGUCAGAAUAUUACUGGGUGUUGAUCCAUGCCAUGAUCCAUCUUUGAUCAAAUGCUCUUCAGAUGUUCUGACAGUUUCUUGGUCUUUGCAGAAAUAAACCAGUUUGACCUCAGAGUGAAGAUCAGACUCCUCCUUUAUGCAGAUGUCAGCAGGUCCAUUAUCCUGGCCAAGCAUUACUGCUUCAUCAGUGGAGAUUGUUUCAACUGUCUCCACAGCGAUAGUGUCUUUACUAUGAUGAGGAUAAACCAGCCUUGCAUCUUGUUCUAUAUUUUUUUCAGGAAAAUAAUCUGAAAGCACAGUUUUUUUUUUUGCUUGGCUUUUAAUCACACUCGGUAGUAUGAACACUUCUUUAGAGAUUUCUCCUUUUCCCAAGAGCUCAGGUUUGUGUUUCUGAACCAUUCUUUUCACUUUACAGUUAAUACGCAGUUGAAAUAGAUUACGUCUCUGAUUUUGCAAACUAAGAUCAAAAUUAUAUUUUAGAAUAUCAAAGAGAAUAUAGCCAAAUCUUUUUUCUUUUUUAUGAUAGGAUUUUAUCUUAGCAUAUUUAUACACCUCAAAUAUUACACCGUUUGUCAGUAAGUGAAAUUCCAGUUUAUUUUUAGAAGGUUUGGAUGCAACAUCAAGGUCCACGCCUAUUUCCUCACAGAGUGGGUAGCACGCUUCGGCUUUCACCAUUUUUUUGGUGUGAGACGUCACAUUUGAUUGGUCUACAUUGUUGUUACCAAUUUGCUUUGUUUCAUCAGUACAAAGUGCAAGGUCAGUGUCAUCAGAGAUUCUCUCUGUUUUGACACAAUGAGGUUCUAUUUGUAUGACUUCAAAAAAAUGGCCUCCCUCAGUCUCCUUGGUUACAAACAUGUCCAUGUCUUUCUUCUUCCUCAUUAAAUUCAAUCUCCUUCUUUUUGAUACUUCUUUCAUUUGGUAUUUUGGCUCAAGUGAUGCUGUAGUGACCUUCUGGUUACUGGACAUCUCUGCAGGAUUCUUUCGUUUGCGUGACUUCUUUAAGAAGAAAGCUUCAUUUUCAAGUUCCCAUCUCCAUGUACCGUUUUUACCCGUCUUGCGCUGCAAAACUGCUCUUAACCUUCCCAUAAUAUCUUCAGCCAGCUCAGUUUUACCACUUUUUAAAUCCAAAUCAAAAUUAUGCUCGAGAACCUCACACACAAUCUGCUUCCAAUUUCCACACACUUGUGAGGCAAAAUCAGCCAAUUCAAACAUUACAUCUCUGGUCAAUAGAUGCAAGUCAAGUUUCUCAGCUUUCCCAUAUUUUGAUUUCACAACAAUGUCAAGUCCUUUUUCCUUACAGAUGGGGUAGAGGUCCCUCAAUGCUUCUUCUACAGUGGGCAUUAUUAAGGAUUGGCCCAUUGUUAUAUCUGUCUGAGAUGUGAAGGUGUCCGCCUGGACAUGUUGAGGAUAGACGAUGCCCAUAUCAGGUUCAUACCUUGUGCAGAUAUCAUUACGUCCAUUUUCAGGGCCAAGGAUUGCAGUCUCAUCAGCACAUCGUGUUACAUCUGUCUCGGUAGAGAAGCUCUCUGUCGUCACAUGCAGAGGAGAGAUCAGGCCAACAACAGGCUCCUCCUUUAUGCAAAUGUCAAACGGUGUAGGAUUUGACCAGCUGUUUUGUAAAUAGAACUGUGCCCAUUUAAGGGAGUAUUCCAAAACUUUAACCGUCUUUGGAUCAGGAAGUUCAAACACUUCUGUUAACCACGCAGGUGUUCUCUUGGAAUGCAUCUUCAGCAUUUCUUUUAAUUUCUUUUCUAUCUUGUUUGAAAAGUCAUAUUGUUGUUCAUUUUGUACACCAAGACCAAAGUUGUAAUCUAGAAUAUCAAAGAUAACAUGAGGGCGAGAUCUAUUAAUGUUUCUAGCAUAUUCUGACACCUCAAGCAUUACACCAAAUGUCAGUAAAUGCAAAUCAAGUUUCUGUUUCGCUCCUGAUCCAACAUUGAAAUCUACACCCAUCUCCUUGCACUUGGCGUAUGGAUCUUUCCAGUAUUUCCCAAACUUUCUUAGGUUUGGUCUUGAGUAACUGCCACGACACUGACGUAUAUAUUUAUCCUCUAACGUUUUCUGGCAUUGUAGUCUUUGUCUUAAAUUGACAUUGUAGUUUUCCUCUUCAUCAGAGGGAAAGUUCAAUGGCUCACAAUAUUCUGGAAGAAUAGGCCUAGUAGAUACAGCUAAAUUACAGCCGCUUUCUGUAGCAGGUGAGGUUAGCACAGAAUGAAUGGCAGUACUAUGGCUUGGGAUAUUAACAUUGUCAGAGGGCAAUUCAUUAUUGAUCUGGGUCUGUGUUUGGCAAGAAACCUGCGAAGUUGGGUUGAUUUCAGCUUCAAAAUAACCACUGAAGGCGGAUGCAUGUCCUGUCAGAAUAUCACUGGAUGGUGCUAAAUGCCACGAUCGCUCUUUGAUUGAAUUAACUUCAGAUGUGCCGAUGGUAUCUUGAUCUUUACAGAAAUAAACCACUUUGACAGCCCUGUUCUCCACAUCACUUGCUCCGGUCAUUUCAGGAAAAAUACGUAAAAUCUGCCCUUGGCUUGUUGUUUGGGGACUGAUGGGAUGUACAUGUGAAUUAUCUUUCAGUAAACCCACAUGGUAACCUGUUUCUGUGUUUCCUGACAAUGUUGAAUUUGGGUAAUCUAUCCAGGCAUUAAUCGAAUCAGACCAAAUUAUUGUUUGGGAUAUCUCCCUCUCAUCUUCCUCUAGUUUAACGUCAACAUCCAUUUUGCACCAAUGUCUCUACAAAAGACAAACUAAUCAAAACCCCCCGAUGACAUUCAUUUCUAAAUGAGCUAGACAGAUAAUGUAAUUUCCCCUAUAUAAAUGAGCUAGCCAAGUGCCUGCAAAUGCCUACAUCGUAUUUGGAGAUGUAGCUAUCUAACUAUGAGAAACACUCUUCACGCCACUUCGAUACAGCUACGACCGGAAGUUACCUUUCUCGUAGCAGAUUAGGACAAAUUAUUACGCAACGGGUUAUGAGAAUCAGUGUAGCAGGUUAGGACAAUUUUGUUAAUAAGGUUAUGAAAAUAAUUAUGGUUAGCAAAACUGCCCUCCUAACCUGCUAUUAAUAUCAUUUCCGGUCGUAGCUCUAUCGAAGUGGUUGAGAAAAAAAAGAGUGUGUCCCAGCUAACUAGGUUAGUUGUCCGUUUACCUGCUAGGCUAACUAACGCUUUACCUUUACUGGUGAUGGGCUACUGCAAAUCCCUUGGCCUUCAUUCUAUUUAGAUAAAUGUAGCAAAAAAGAAAUAUUUCCAAACACUUCGUAUGCUAGCUAGUACACUAAAAACGGAGUGGAAUAUUUACGGAAGUGUUUUGAAGUCGACGUCAGAGGGUUGUGGCCCGACGAAGUACAGACGGAAGUGAUGUCAAAUUCGUUAUCCUGUCGUCAUGCGAUUUGGUCUUGGCUAGAAGGGGUACAGCUGCAGACAGAAGUUGGUUUUUAUUUUUAUUUUUAUCAAACAAAUUGGUAUAGAAUACAACCUUUUAGUGUCAAGUAAGG
rnacentral:lncRNA from 1 species